rnacentral:misc_RNA from 1 species
AACCAUUCUCACCUGCGGCUAGACCUGCGGAGGGAUCAUUACAAGUGACCCCGGUCUAACCACCGGGAUGUUCAUAACCCUUUGUUGUCCGACUCUGUUGCCUCCGGGGCGACCCUGCCUUCGGGCGGGGGCUCCGGGUGGACACUUCAAACUCUUGCGUAACUUUGCAGUCUGAGUAAACUUAAUUAAUAAAUUAAAACUUUCAGCAAUGGAUCU